UACGAAGGGGGCUAGCGUUGCUCGGAAUCACUGGGCGUAAAGCGCACGUAGGCGGCUUCUUAAGUCAGGGGUGAAAUCCUGGAGCUCAACUCCAGAACUGCCUUUGAUACUGAGGAGCUUGAGUCCGGGAGAGGUGAGUGGAAUUCCGAGUGUAGAGGUGAAAUUCGUAGAUAUUCGGAAGAACACCAGUGGCGAAGGCGGCUCACUGGCCCGUUACCGACGCUCAGGCGCGACAGCGUGGGGAGCAAACAGG
rnacentral:rRNA from 1 species